CAUUACUCAAAUUGUAGUGACAAUUUAGACAAAGAAAAGGUAUUUACAAAGUGUCAUGUGUACACGUAUGAAUCAAUAUGUAGUCAUCCGCAAGUAUCUACAACAUAGUAGUUUACAAAAUCAUCCAUGAAAUGGUAUUUUACAACCUAGAUUGAUAAAAAUAUAUCACUCAACAAUUUAGAAAACAGUGCAAUCCAGUUCGAACAAACAAAACACUUAAACUAUUGAAGUUCUUGUCGUCGGCCCUCCUGAUGGAAACCUUGAUGGAAACUAUCACGUCAUCCAAAUUGUGAUGGAAACCUUGAUGGAAACUAUCACGUCAUCCAAAUUGUGAUGGCAGCACCAAGUAGCCGAGUACACAAUCAUACCUAGCAUAUUUACAAAACAAUUAGAUAUUUGUAGGUAUGAAUAGAUAGUAGAAACAAGAGAACUGCAACAAAUGUAAACAUGAAAAUCUAUUAUAUAAUUAUAAAACGAUACAAAACAAAUGGCAUAGAUGUAACAAUAAAAGAGCUAAAAAGAAUGGAUGUGAUCAAACAAAGUUUAUCAAACGAAGCCUAUGACUGAGAAGUGCAAAACAAAACACAUGGAAGGAAACUUGCCAUCUCUUCACAAAAAAGAAGACACUUCCCAUCAUCACGUGUGUUGUACAGACAUACAAUAAGUUCUCGAAUAUAACUAUGCUAUUAGAAAAUCAAUCAACGUGAUGCUAAAAAAUCUUCUUACCUACAAGGAAAUAUAUUACAAAGCCUAGCCCCCUUGUACAUAGCACACGUACAUGAACGAGCAGAAUUUGCCCAACAUUCAAACAGCCAUCCAACAAAAAUGGGUGUACUUCAUGGUCAUAGUAAUACCUUGCUUUCAACGAAAAAUUUAAUUUCCCUAUUUGUAUGACAACAAUACAAAUCAGUAAAAAUAAAAGAAUGUCUAUCAACCUAUUUUAGAUGUCGGGACAAAUUAUUAGUAAAAACUAAAACACGCCAUACAUAUACACUGAAGUUUUCUCUAGAGCAUAAUUUACAAUGGAUUUUCAAAAUAAUUACAUUGCUUCCAUAGAUGAAUAAUUAUACACAGAAAUAUUCUCUAGAUGAAUGGCUUAUGUAGAUGAAUCAAUGGGCAAUGGAAAAUGUAUCCCUUAAGUGUAAUGGUUGGUGGUGUCCAGAUUAUUAUUAUUUUCUUCCUAGAAAACUAUUAGCAAAAGCACAAAUACGAAUACACUCGCUAAUGUCCACACCCUCUAAUAUUUUCUGAAGAUUGAUUUUACUUAGCUGAAUUUUGAGUACAAAUUUCCAAUGGUUUACUCUGUAGAAUGUUUUCACAGUUAUAGCUAACUUGGUCUAAGAAUAUGAAAUUGUCUACACUAGCUGACUUAGUUAUUUCUCCUCUGCUUUAGCUUUUAAAUAUGAUAUUUUAAAAGCAAUCUCUGAAUUUACUAUAUCUGACUAGCUGUACUGCAUCACAAUAUUACCUUCAGUGAAAUAUUACCUUCAACAUUGCCUUGAGUACACGUGCACCACACAAGGCCGGUCCUAAGAUUUGGGGGCCCGGGGCGAAACUAAAACUUAGAGGCCCUUGACAGAAAUAUGAGAAUAUUAGGCUAUGAAGAAAGUACACACUAUGUGUGAUGCAAAGUCAUGUUUAAUGCUUGAAUUACACGUGUAGGAGUAUAUUAUUUCAGGUGUCAAAAGGGACAGAAGACUCCAAAAAUGGUCCAAAAAUAAUUUGCAUCCAAAAUACAUGGUUGCAUUCACAUUUUGAGUCCUUCCAAUGACUAUUGUAAGACUGUUACAGCAAACAUGAGUAUAUGAGGAUUUAGAUAGAUGAGAAAAUCAAUACGAGUGAUGUGGAAAUAUUUUGUCAUAUCUUCUAAACUUACCUUUGUAUCUUUAAAAAUCAAAUUAUAUAGUGCCGAGAUAGUGAAAAGUUACUCCCGCGAAGUUGUAGGGAUGAUUAAAUUAAUAAUUUGUUACCCAAUUGUGCUAUCAUUGCUGAGUUCAUCUAUAAACUCACCACUAUGAGCAGCAUCCAAACCUCGUUCUUGCUUGAGAUCUAUAACACCACAUGAAAAUCAAUAUUAAAAGGCAGAAUCAAAACGAUUAAUUGUACAAACAGUGGAAAAUGUCGACCGACUGACAAUACUCGC
rnacentral:lncRNA from 1 species